UAGGGGGUAAUAAAGAGUAAUAGAGAGUAAUAGGGGGUAAUAGGGAGUAAUAGGGGGUAAUAGGGAAGUAAUAGGGGGUAAUAGACAGCAAUAAAGAGUAAUGGGGUAAUAGGGGUAAUAGGGAGUAAUAGGCAGUAAUAGGGGGUAAUAGGGCAGUAAUAGGCAUUAAUAGGGGUAAUAGGGGGUAAUAGGGAGUAAUAAGGGGUAAUAGGGCAGUAAUAGGCAGUAAUAGGGGUAAUAGGGGGGUAAUAGGGCAGUAAUAGGGGUAAUAGGGGUAAUAGGCAGUAAUAGGCAGUAAUAGGGCAGUAAUAGGAAGUAAUAGGGGUAAUAGGGGUAAUGGGCUGUAAUAGGGGUAAUAAGGGGUAAUAGGCAGUAAUAGGGUGUAAUAUGGCAGUAAUAAGGGGUAAUAGGGGUAAUAGGCGGUAAUAGAGAGGAGUAGGCAGUUCUAGGGGGUAAUAGGGAAGGAUAGGCAGUAAUAGGGGUAAUAGGCAGUACUAGGGGGGUAAUAGGGGUAAUAUGCAGUAAUAGGGGGCAAUAAGGGGAAAUAAGCAGUAAUAGGGGGUAAUAGGGGGUAAUAGGGGGUAAUAG
ensembl:lncRNA